UACAGAGGAGCCAAGCGUUGUCCGGAUUGACUGGCGUAAAGAGCUCGUAGGCGGUCUGUCGCGUCUGCUAGUGAAAUCCGGGCUCAACCCGGACUUGCAGUGGGUACGGGCAGACUAGAGUGUGGUAGGGGAGACUGGAAUUCCUGGUGUAGCGGUGAAAUGCGCAGAUAUCAGGAGGAACACCGAUGGCGAAGGCAGGUCUCUGGGCCACUACUGACGCUGAGAAGCGAAAGCAUGGGGAGCGAACAGG
rnacentral:rRNA from 1 species